AAAGAACUGCAUGAACUUUAAAUUAACAAGUCUUUGGUAGGUCACAUCAGUCUAAUGAUCAUUUAUUAAAUGUGUUUAGAAAUAUUGCCAUGAAAGUGUACUUUCUUUAUGUAGCGGGUAUUAACUCACUUACUUAUGGACCAGGAAUAAUAAUAAGAUCAGAAGGGUGCACGGUACGAAGGAGGAGGUAGCAGUGAUAGUGAGCAACAAGCAGAGACAGAAGAUUCGUGAUCCAAUCAGGUCGAAAUGGGAGGCUCGCCAUCAAUUAGGAAAAUCCAGCUCAAGGAAUGUUCAUAGCACGUGCAACCAAAAUGGCGUCAGCGAACAGCAGUGAACACAACGCACCAUGUGGUUUUACAUAAUCACACUGCAAUGAACAAUCCAACCCAUAUAACAUCACAAUAUAACACCAUUUUGUGUCGUAUGAAU